AUUGAACGCUGGCGGCAGGCCUAACACAUGCAAGUCGAGCGGAGCGGCGGACGGGUGAGUAAUGCCUAGGAAUCUGCCUGGUAGUGGGGGAUAACGUCAGGAAACGGGCGCUAAUACCGCAUACUAUCAGAUGAGCCUGGGUGGGAUUAGCGAGUUGGUGGGGUAAAGGCCUACCAAGGCGACGAUCCGUAACUGGUCGGAGAGGAUGAUCAGUCAAACGGGAACGGAGGCCCGGUCCAGAGUCCCACGGGAGGAAGCGGUGGGGAAUGUUGGACAAUGGGCGAAAGCCUGAUCGAGCCAUGCGGCGUGUGUGAAUAAGGUCUUCGGAUUGUAAAGCACUUUAAGUUGGGAGGCGUUACCAACAGAAUAAGCACCGGCUAACUUCGUGCCAGCCGCCGCGGUAAUAC
rnacentral:rRNA from 1 species